GGUUGAGCCGAUGCCGGGUGUUCGGACCUUUAAGGCCCCCCGGCGGAGGCAACACACCUCUUUGGCCUCUGCUUCACGUAGACGGCACCCCCGGACUGACCCACCCGGGGGAAAUCGGUAGUCGCCUUUUCCUGUCCUCCUCUCCAAUCUUCGUCUUUCUCUCUCGUCUUUUUCAUCUUUCCUGUCUUCUCAUCACUUCUCCUCACUUCCUAGUUUCGCGGCGGCAAGGGUUAACCUCGUGUAGCUAGCCAGCCUUGGUUAUGCUGUAUUUGGUUAUUCGCAACUUUCACGUACGGUGGCGCCGUCUUCCGGCGGCGGCCGGUACCAAUCGAAAGAUUAUGGCUGCCGCCCGUUCCAACCAAUCUAAAAACGUUGGCCCGUUCGCAUAGCUGGCAUAGCGUGUUGCUGUUGUCUACGCUUUUCCUCUACUUUUCGUUGAUGUUUUAGCGCAUUCGAAGCUCCAGCGGGAUCCUGAAGGACCCUUAACGUGCUCAGAAUGAGCAAACUUAGAAGCAACCGCAUUUGCUGUGUGCCGCAAUGCAAAAAUUAUGCGGUAGGUGAUGUGAGCCUUCACUCAUUUCCAACGGCUGCGUCCAUGAGGAAGAAAUGGAUUAUUAAGCUGCGGAUCGGCAAAGCCGUUACCGAAGCGAUGAAGGUUUGCAGUGCGCACUUCACGCUGGAGGACUUUUUUUGGAAUACGACAGGUGAGUGACGAUUCCGAUCACUUCAAAUCGCGAAUAGACGUACCUCCAUAAAGACGCAGGCAUAGCACCAUAUUAUAUGCAUGGAAAGAAAUAAUACAGAAUCUUAACUCAAAUAUGUUGUGGGAUGAUUGAUGUUUACGUUUUUGUCACUCGUGUCAUUGCGGCUACGUUGGAGCGCAAACAUUCUCCGUAAAGCCUUGUACCUGCUGCAAAAUUUCUUGUUCUCGAAUGCACCGCUCAUUCGUUUAAUUUGUGCUCUGCAACGUCGGCUUGACUUUACAUACAUUUUCGAACAGGGAGAUGAGUUUCUCAUUUGUGCAGAGUCAUGAGACAUUUAUCGCGGUCAGUUACUGCGACGGAAGUGCGGGUGUUCUGCUUCGAACGAGACAUAGCCAGAUUCGGGGAAGCCCAACGCAAGCAAAGAGAAAAGGCAGUUUUCAGCACCGAAGUUCAUGUACCUUUUGUUGUAGUCGCAAUUGUCUUGAGUAGAAUGGCUGGUUCACGAAUGUUCAAUUACCGGAGAUGUGAGGGGCAGCAAGUUUGGUGGCAUUCUGGGAGGCAUACUUUUGCAAUUUAUGCUGGCUUCUGUGGUCUUUUCGACUGAUUGCAGUUCAGAGAGACUAAUGCAUCCCUGUUAGUGCAUAUCGACAGUACAUGCGUUUUUUUUCCAAGACCCAGCUGUUAGGACACCACGUCGGAAGCGCUUAAAGAAGACAGCAAUUCCGUCUAGGUGCCUUCCUGUCCGGGUGUUUGACGUUGUGGAUGAAGUUUCGAAGCAAGCAUCCCAUGAAAGAUCUUUGCGGGCAUGAGCAAGAUCAUGGGCAUCUCUGUGCACAACCGAAAAUGGGCCGUCAAAUGUGCCUUUGGGGUCAUGUACAGCACAACAGCCGAACAUCGAAAGUUCGGAAAAUGUACCAACAGAGCUUGAAAGCAACCCAGUCACCGAGCUUGACCAAGGUGCCGCUAUAGCACUGCAAAGGCUGGGACAACACUGAGUGAAGCUACAAGCCUCGAACGGUCUGCAUUGGAUGCACUCCUUGCCCUCAGUGAUCGGCGUUGUCGAUGUGUUGACAUUGGCAUUCAAGUCUGCACUGAUUCAUCACCAGCCAGAAGGAACACAUUGGUUGACUUGCUCUCUACAGAUGCUGCCAUAAAAGCCUUCACAGGUGUCACUUCCCACGAUGAUCUACGUUCUGUUCCCUGCCCUGGCUAUGGCUUUUCUAGACGCACCCCAACCGCAUCCUGCCUGGCAUGUCGACUACGACGCAACUGCGUUCUACCACCCAAUGAAUGCCAGCAUCACUUCCAGACCGUUGACACCGUCCGUGUGUCCGGCAGCGCCACUGUUCCCGGCAGCGUCACUCGACUUGCGGCCGGAAUACCUAUCGCCACCAACAUCAAUUCGCCCAUCAGAUAUAAAAGAGCAGGCGCGCACGGAGGCGUUUUGUGGGCCCGGCUGCCGUGCUUCAA